CAGACAACAAGGCAAGGGGAGGGAGGGGGAGAGGCAGAACCUGGCGCAAGAGCUUCUUACGGAUGACAGUGAUUAUUGCUAUUACUUCAGUAUUAUUCUUGAUUUCUUCCCUAUCCUCCACUGUGCAGAACUUGGAGGUUUCUGAUUCAUGCUGGAUCCAAAACUGUCCCAUGCUGAUCCUGCCAGGGCGUACUGCAGGGAAGCACUGGAAGAUUGUGCAGCACCUGCAUGGAGCUAGUCCACUUCUGUGUGGGAUGUGGUCGUGUUCACAGUUGAAGAGCUGAGCUCCCACUUUUCUUUAUGUGCUCUCCUGACUCAGCCAAUCUGCAUUAGAAGCGCAGCUGCACUCAAGAGAAGAAUACUUCAUAAAGAAAGUUCAAAAUGGCUCUUCUACUGUGUAAGUUUUCAGCUGCCAUCUCUGAAGCACAUACGUCCUUCCUGAUGGCCAUGUGAAAUGGUUUUGCAAAGACCUGUGCUUGUAAAGACACCAUGGAAAGGAGGCCCAGAUAAGUGGUAUUUGGUAGUCACCUUUUCUUCAGAAAUGCUGUCCUCAACACUUUCUCCGUCUUUGCAUGAUUGCUAAUAAAGUAUGUCCGAGGAAUGGACAGAAUUAAUCAAUUAGUCUACAAAUACUCCAGCCCAUGCCUUCUGAACACCCCAAUGUAUUACCAACCUUAGGGUUAAGGGGGACUGGGAGGCAAGAUUCUACUUUACUUAACCUUCAAAUCUUUCCUAGGAAGAUGGGAGCUCUCAUGAUUUAUGUCACAGUAACCAAUCUCUAAAAAAUGUGCCGUGUUUCCACUGCAAUUUUCUUUCUUAGAUGUGCCAGCUGCUCUUUUUCACACUUUCGCUGCACGUUUACGAGAGUGAGAAGGAAUGCACACACAUACACGCACAUACACACAGCUGCAGCCAUACGACCAGCCUGGCCUUAGCCCACACAGUGCUUUCAAGCCCAGGGAUGUAUUUAGUUAGAGCAGGAGAAAGGGAAAAAAAAAUGUUGCUGUAACUAUGUCUGGAUUCCCAAAAACCUGCGCCAGGGUUUCCUGAUAUUUCUGCAGGCAUUUGCAUCAGACAUACAGCUGCCAUAUUUCUUGCAGGAGACCAACCAUAGCCUUCAUUUGAUUGUGAUUCUAUUUUCAUUUCAUUUUCUCUUAUUUAAAACAGAGUUAAAGUCUCAUGUGCACCCCA